GGCUUUAUAGUCAAAAAAUGAUAUUAGAUUGCAAUUCUAAAGGUAUAAAAAAAAUUAUUAAAGCUU
rnacentral:tRNA from 1 species